UGGUGCACUUGCCUGUGUGCACUGUGCAGUGAUGGAGGAGCCUGCAGACAUGAGUAGAGGAGCAGCCACACCACAGGCACAGAGUGCUACUGCAUCCUCUGACCGUUGGACCAACUCCUGCAUGAAGAAAGAAGCCAGCCAGAGACGGGAUUUUCUAGCAUGAAGUGAGAGGAGAAGUUUAAGGCGCAGCAAUGACCAGCUUCUCAUCUUAUCCCCUAGUCCCAGAGCUUUGCUCCCCCAACCUUUCAGUCACCAGAUGUGCUUUACAAUAGUUGGUUGCUACAAGAAAUGCAGAAUAUUAAGUUGCCUGCUGUCUUUCACUAAGCAGUUACC